rnacentral:rRNA from 1 species
UACGUAGGGUGCGAGCGUUGUCCGGAAUUAUUGGGCGUAAAGGGCUCGUAGGCGGUCUGUCACGUCGGGAGUGAAAACACGGGGCUUAACUCCGUGCCUGCUUCCGAUACGGGCAGACUAGAGGUAUGCAGGGGAGAACGGAAUUCCUGGUGUAGCGGUGAAAUGCGCAGAUAUCAGGAGGAACACCGGUGGCGAAGGCGGUUCUCUGGGCAUUACCUGACGCUGAGGAGCGAAAGUGUGGGGAGCGAACAGG